CGGACGGGUGAGUAACGCGUGAGUAACCUGCCUUACACAAGGGGAUAGCCGUUGGAAACGACGAAUAAUACCCUAUGAAACUAUCACUUCGCAUGAAGCGAUAGUCAAAGUGUUAGCGGUGUAAGAUGGACUUGCGUCUGAUUAGCUAGUUGGUGAGAAAAAGCCACCAAGGCAACGAUCAGUAGCCGGCUUGAGAGAGUGUACGGCCACAUUGGGACUGAGACACGGCCCAG
rnacentral:rRNA from 1 species